GACGAACUGUCCAAACGUUGUUCGGAAUCACUGGGCUUAAAGGGCGCGUAGGCGGUCAAACAAGUCAGGGGGGAAAUCCUGCAGCUCAACUGUAGAAGUGCCUCUGAUACUGUUUGCCUAGAGGGAGAUAGGGGUGUGCGGAACUUCCAGUGGAGCGGUGAAAUGCGUUGAUAUUGGAAGGAACGCCGGAGGCGAAAGCGGCGCACUGGAUCUCUUCUGACGCUGAGGCGCGAAAGCUAGGGGAGCAAACGGG
rnacentral:rRNA from 1 species